GAUUCUCGGUAAUAGAUAUCUCGGCUCUUGCAUCGAUGAAGAACGUAGCAAAAUGUGAUAAUUGGUGUGAAUUAUAAAAUCCCGUGAACCAUAGAGUAUUUGAACUCAAGUUCCGCCCAAAACCAUUAGGCCGAGGGCACGUCUGCCUAGGCGUCA
rnacentral:rRNA from 1 species